rnacentral:rRNA from 1 species
GGUAAUUUAGUAUGAAAAGUAGUAAAUUUUUGUACAAUAAAAGUGAACGUUGAGGUCCGUGUUGUAAUUUUAGUUUUUUUGUAAAUCUACAUGUAAGUUUAGGCUAGUAAAAAAAGUUGUAAAAUAAAUUAGGAGAUUYUCAGUAGAAAAUUUUGGAAAUAUAUAAAAA